UGGAAAGGGUAUCCUUGCUGCUGAUGAAUCUACUGGAACCAUUGGAAAGCGUCUCUCGAGCAUCAAUGUCGAGAAUGUAGAAUCAAACAGGAGGGCUCUCCGUGAGCUUCUCUUUUGCACCCCUGGUUGUCUUCAGUACCUUAGCGGUGUGAUCUUGUUCGAGGAGACACUUUACCAGAAGACUGCUGCUGGCAAGCCUUUCGUUGAAGUCAUGAAGGAAGCUGGAGUCCUUCCUGGUAUUAAGGUUGACAAGGGUACCGUUGAACUCCCCGGGACCGAUGGUGAGACCACCACUCAAGGUCUUGAUGGUCUCGCAGAACGUUGCCAGAAGUACUACGAGGCUGGUGCUAGGUUCGCCAAAUGGCGUGCUGUGUUGAAGAUUGGUGCCAAUGAGCCAUCUCAGCUCGCCAUCAAUGAUAACGCCAAUGGCCUUGCCAGAUACGCCAUUAUUUGCCAGCAGAAUGGUCUUGUACCCAUUGUUGAGCCCGAGAUCCUUGUCGAUGGAGCCCAUGACAUUAAAAAGUGCGCUGAUGUUACCGAGCGCGUUCUUGCUGCUUGCUACAAGGCUCUCAAUGACCACCAUGUCCUCCUUGAAGGUACCUUGUUGAAGCCUAACAUGGUCACUCCUGGUUCUGAAUCUCCCAAGGUUGCACCAGAAGUGAUCGCUGAGUACACCGUCCGUGCUUUGCAACGCACAAUGCCACCCGCUGUUCCCGCUGUGGUGUUCCUGUCUGGUGGUCAGAGUGAAGAGGAAGCCACCGUCAACCUCAACGCCAUGAACAAGCUUCAAACCAAGAAGCCAUGGUCGCUUUCCUUUUCCUUUGGACGUGCUCUUCAGCAG
rnacentral:misc_RNA from 1 species